rnacentral:rRNA from 1 species
GACGAACGAGGGAGGAGGGAGGAACAAAGGCAAGUCGAACGGAAAGGCCCUGCUUUUGUGGGGUGCUCGAGUGGCGAACGGGUGAGUAACACGUGAGUAACCUGCCCUUGACUUUGGGAUAACUUCAGGAAACUGGGGCUAAUACCGGAUAGGAGCUCCUGCUGCAUGGUGGGGGUUGGAAAGUUUCGGCGGUUGGGGAUGGACUCGCGGCUUAUCAGCUUGUUGGUGGGGUAGUGGCUUACCAAGGCUUUGAGGGGGUGCCGGCCUGAGAGGGUGACCGGCCACAUUGGGACUGAGAUACGGCCCAGACUCCUACGGGAGGCAGCAGUGGGGAAUAUUGCACAAUGGGCGGAAGCCUGAUGCAGCAACGCCGCGUGCGGGAGUACGGACUGCGGGUUGUAAACCGCUUUCGCCUGUGACGAAGCGUGAGUGACGGUAAUGGGUAAAGAAGCACCGGCUACCUACGUC